GGUCAUGAGUGCCAGCGACAAGCCCCGGCUUGCUGGUCGGCAACCCUCCAACCGCGGUGGGGUGCCCCGGGUGAUGACCAGGUUGAGUAACCGCUAACGAGCGGCUGCCGGCAAGCGCGGGUC
rnacentral:ncRNA from 2 species